CGUGUACUUGAAGAAUAAGCAUCGGCUAACUCCGUGCCAGCAGCCGCGGUAAGACGGAGGAUGCAAGUGUUAUCCGGAAUCACUGGGCGUAAAGCGUCUGUAGGUGGUUUAAUAAGUCAACUGUUAAAUCUUAAAGCUUAACUUUGAAAUCGCAGUCGAAACUAUUAGACUAGAGUAUAGUAGGGGUAAAGGGAAUUUCCAGUGGAGCGGUGAAAUGCGUAGAUAUUGGAAAGAACACCGAUGGCGAAGGCACUUUACUGGGCUAUUACUAACACUCAGAGACGAAAGCUAGGGUAGCAAAUGGGAUUAGAUACCCCAGUAGUCCUAGCCGUAAACAAUGGAUACUAGAUGUUGAACAGAUUGACCUGUGCAGUAUCAAAGCUAACGCGUUAAGUAUCCCGCCUGGGAAGUAUGCUCGCAAGAGUG
rnacentral:rRNA from 1 species